AAGCAACCAACUACGACGACACAACUGCUCUGACAGCAGCACAUGCGCGAAAACGUGACUUUCAAAGGCAAAACGUUGUCGAUGACGUCGUUUUAAAUGACGAAGAGGAAGAAGAGAAGAAAGAGAUUCUAUACUUGGUGGAAGCACAAAGUCGACGCAUAUGGCUUAGGUCGUUGACCUGCAAGAACAUACAGCAAGGUAGGCAAACAAGCGAGGACAGGGAGAGACUCCUCUCCUCCGACCCCUGCAACCCAGCCCGAAAGAAGAAGCGUUUCCUCAUUGGUUCUCACCUGCACCAAAUUCCUAGCUGGCCAACCUCGGUCAUUGACCCUUCUUAGAAGAGCACGCGGAAGACCGCGAUCGUUGCGCUCGUGCGUCUAAAGACCCACCUCAUAGCGAUGUCCAUCGCCAUCGUUCUCUUCUUUCCAGGAAAGUUGACCCGAAUUCAACUUACAGUUCAUUUACCCGACAUAAAUAAAUAUCGUUAAGAGAUAUUUAAAAUAGAAGAGAUAAGAUUAGAAAUCGUGGUAUAUAGUGAGAUACCAAAGACAUUAAGAGAAAUAAACGACUCUUCUUCGAUAGUAGUACGAAAAAGGUUGCUGUGCGACGAAGAAAAACGACCAAAUACGAAAUGAGGAGUUACACCUUUGGAGUGCCGACCAUUCCUACGAGAGGAAAGUUGUUUUCGCCAAAAAAGAAUAUCAGAGGAGAAGAAUCUGAGAAUCCGAUGUAAUUUACGUAAUCAGCCCAUUGCCGGCUAGAUACCGGUAAUACUGGCAUCGAACACGGUGAGAAGAAUAAUACCGAAUACGAGAAUCGAAAUGCCACAUCCUGAGUUAACAUGCAUGCAUACAGACCAACCACGGGAAAUCGAUAAACCGGUCACGUAUACAAAUGAACUUAGAUAUCUAUAAUACUGGCUCUAUUUUAAUUAAUGCUCAUAAGAAUAUUAUUAUAGUUAUUAUAUAUAGAAGAAAAUAUGUUCUAUAGAAACGUAAAAACAUCAG